rnacentral:lncRNA from 1 species
AGAAGAGGAUAGAGCAGGGGAUAGAGAAGAGGAUAGAGCAGGGGGAUAGAGAAGAGGAUAGAGCAGGGGAUAGAGAAGAGGAUAGAGCAGGGGGUAUAGAAGAGGAUAGAGCAGGGGAUAGAGAAGAGGAUAGAGCAGGGGAUAGAGAAGAGGAUACAGUAGGGGAUAGAGAAGAGGAUAGAGCAGGGGAUAGAGAAGAGGAUAGAGCAGGGGAUAGAGAAGAGGAUAGAGAGGGGGAUAGAGAAGAGGAUAGAGCAGGGGAUAGAGAAGAGGAUAUGAGCAGGGGAUAGAGAAGAGGAUAGAGCAGGGGAUAGAGAAGAGGAUAGAGCAGGGGGAUAGAGAAGAGAGAGGAUAGAGCAGGGGAUAGAGAAGAGGAUAGAGCAGGGGGAUAGAGAAGAGGAUAGAGCAGGGGAUAGAGAAGAGGAUAGAGCAGGGGAUAGAGAAGAGGAUAGAGCAGGGGAUAGAGAAGAGGAUAGAGCAGGGGAUAGAGAAGAGGAUAGAGCAGGGGGAUAGAGAAGAGGAUAGAGCAGGGGAUAGAGAAGAGGAUAGAGUAGGGGAUAGAGAAGAGGAUAGAGCAGGG